rnacentral:rRNA from 1 species
AUACGUAGGGGGCAAGCGUUGUCCGGAAUCAUUGGGCGUAAAGGGCGCGUAGGCGGAUACUUAAGUCUGGUGUGAAAACCUAGGGCUCAACCCUGGGACUGCAUCGGAAACUGGGUAUCUUGAGGACAGGAGAGGAAAGUGGAAUUCCACGUGUAGCGGUGAAAUGCGUAGAUAUGUGGAGGAACACCAGUGGCGAAGGCGACUUUCUGGACUGUAACUGACGCUGAGGCGCGAAAGCGUGGGGAGCAAACAGGAUUAGAUACCCUGGUAGUCCACGCCGUAAACGAUGAGUGCUAGGUGUAGAGGGUAUCGACCCCUUCUGUGCCGCAGUUAACACACUAAGCACUCCGCCUGGGGAGUACGGCCGCAAGGUUGA